CAGGCCUAACACAUGCAAGUCGUACGAGAACUCUUCUGCUUGCAGAAGAUAGUAAAGUGGCGCACGGGUGAGUAACGCGUGGGUAAUCUACCUUCGAAACGGGGAUAACUCCGCGAAAGCGGUGCUAAUACCGGAUAAUAUCCAGACCCUCCGGGGUUCUGGAUCAAAGGUGGCCUCUACAUGUAAGCUACCGUUUGAAGAGGAGCCCGCGUACCAUUAGCUUGUUGGUGGGGUAAAGGCUCACCAAGGCUACGAUAGUUAGCUGGUAUGAGAGGAUGAUCAGCCACACUGGAACUGACACACGGUCCAGACUCCUACGGGAGGCAGCAGUGAGGAAUUUUGCGCAAUGGGGAAACCCUGACGCAGCAACGCCGCGUGAGUGAUGAAGGCCCUCGGGGAGUAAAGCGAUGUACAAGUGGGAAGAAACUGCAUACAAGGAAAUACCGUGAUGCACUGACGGUACCACUGAAGGAAGGACCGGCUAACUCCGUGCCAGCAGCCGCGGUAA
rnacentral:rRNA from 1 species